GGCAUUGUACAGUGGCAGUAUUGUAGCCUAUGAAGAUCUACUGAGAUGUGAUUAUUGUUAAUUGAAAACAUUACCCAAUAAGUCUUACUUUAAUAUUACUGCAGGUGAACUUAUGGUAGAUGAUAUCAG